rnacentral:rRNA from 1 species
GUGGGGAAUAUUGGACAAUGGGCGAAAGCCUGAUCCAGCCAUGCCGCGUGUGUGAAGAAGGCCUUUUGGUUGUAAAGCACUUUAAGCGAGGAGGAGGCUACUAGUACUAAUACUACUGGAUAGUGGACGUUACUCGCAGAAUAAGCACCGGCUAACUCUGUGCCAGCAGCCGCGGUAAUACAGAGGGUGCGAGCGUUAAUCGGAUUUACUGGGCGUAAAGCGUGCGUAGGCGGCUGAUUAAGUCGGAUGUGAAAUCCCUGAGCUUAACUUAGGAAUUGCAUUCGAUACUGGUCAGCUAGAGUAUGGGAGAGGAUGGUAGAAUUCCAGGUGUAGCGGUGAAAUGCGUAGAGAUCUGGAGGAAUACCGAUGGCGAAGGCAGCCAUCUGGCCUAAUACUGACGCUGAGGUACGAAAGCAUGGGGAGCAAACAGGAUUAGAUACCCUUGUAGUCC